ACCAUUUCUAAUUCGCCCCCUCCCUCCCGUUUCUCACUUCCCAGCGCUACCCAGCGCAUCCGCGGCCAAAACCCCCCUCCGGCAUCCGCGGAAUCCAUCCCCGGUUCGGUGCAGGAUUCGUUGGAUUUACCUGAAUCACUUUUGGUGCGAGGAGUAAUUGUCAGCGCCAAUUCCAUCGAGCUUGGGAAAAUCCGGCUCUUUGGUAGCUGGAUUUUUGGCCAGUUCGAAGCAGCAUCAGCUGCAAGGCGAGGAUGCGAGGAGUGCGGCGGAGUGCUCGCGGGGAGGCGUCCGGGAAGGCGCACCGCGAGCUAGACCGGUUCGACAUGGCCAACGAGGUGUUCCAUCUCACCAGGGCCAGGUCGGAGCUCUGCCACCGGGCUCGAGGCGCCACUUCAGCCCGCCGGAAGAGGCCCUUCUCGACGUUCGAGCUCUUGUCGGCGAGGGAGUGCGGCCGCACGGGCGGCGCCGGGUUUGCUGCGGCCGAUCGCGCCUAUGUUGGCAGCAGGCACAUCCCGACCAAAGGGCCGUGGGGCGUCGACGAAGUGGACAGCGAGGCCUACGUCUCGCAGUUCUCUGCUGAUGGGUCGCUGCUCGUCGCUGGGUUUAGGGGAAGCCGCAUCAGAGUUUACGAUGUCGAGAGAGGGUGGAAGAUUCAUAAGGAUAUAAGCUGCAGGAGUCUGCAGUGGACAGUUUCAGAUAUUGCUCUCUCACCUGAUCAGCAAUUCCUUGCCUAUGCAAGUUUGUCGCCUAUUGUUCACAUUGUGAAUGUGCAGAGUUCUGGAAAGGAAUCUCAUGCUAAUGUUAAUGAAAUUCAUGAGGGAUUGGAUUUCACUGGUAAUGAGCAUGAUGAGGACUUCGGAAUAUUUUCUGUUAAAUUCUCAAAAGAUGGUAAAGAAGUUGUUAUUGGGAAUAAUGAAAGAUCAAUAUAUGUUUAUGAUCUUGCAGCAAAUAAAGUGUCAGUCCGCAUCCGUGCUCAUACGGAUGAUGUCAAUGCUGUGACCUUUGCUGAUGAAAGUGGCAAUAUAUUGUACUCUGGAAGUGAUGAUACUCUUUGUAAGGUGUGGGACAGGCGUUGCCUUGUUGGGGGAAAAUCAGCAGGUCUUUUGACAGGUCAUUUAGAUGGAGUUACAUUUAUCGAUAGCCGUGGUGAUGGGCGUUAUUUCAUCUCCAAUUGCAAGGAUCAGAGAAUCAAACUUUGGGACAUCAGGAAAAUGUCUUCUGCUGUGAGAGCGCGCCCAGUCAAAAUGGUGGACUGGGACUAUAGGUGGAUGCCAUUCCCAUCAGAAGCCCAUCAUUUUAAGCAUCCAGAUGACCAGUCUCUGGCUACAUACAGAGGUCAUUCAGUUUGGAAAACACUUAUCCGUUGCUACUUCUCCCCUAUGCACAGCAAGCUUGGUUGCUGUAGUCUGUAGGGGGGUUUGUUUCUGCCUUUCUGAAAUAACGCGAGUGCAAAUAAAAAAGGUAAAGGAUGUUCUUAAUUUCCCUAUUGCGUUUUGAUUAUCAUAGGUGGUGCCUAGAACAUUGCCAAGUCUAUAUUCAUUUUUCUUUUCAAAUGCUGUGCUUCUUGUUGCAGCACGGGCCAGAGGUACAUAUACUCAGGAUCCAGUGACAAGUCUGUAUAUAUUUACGACAUGGUAACUGGGAAAACUAUUGAGAGGCUUUCGUGGCAUGGCUCGAUCAUCAGAGACUGCACCUGGCAUCCGUAUCAUCCAACGCUCGUCACCUCCUCCUGGGACGGCUAUCUUGCCCGGUGGGAGGCCUCGGGGAACAACGACGACCUUUCAAUGCCAAAGAUUAUGAGAACGAGGUGGCCCGUGCGGUUGGGCGCGGCAGCACCCACGGAAUAAGGGGAGUUGACGGUGGAAGCAAGAUGAUGGCGUCCGCAAAGAGCGAAUACCAAAUGGUAGCGAACAUUGUGCUUGAUUUGUAGUUUCGGAAUUGCAACUGAGCAAUGUGUACAGUGCCGUUUGACUCUGUGUGCCUCACUGUCAUGCAAUAAUGCCAGCUUUUC